rnacentral:rRNA from 1 species
GUUGAUGAGAGUGGCGCACGGGUGCGUAACGCGUGAGCAACCUGCCCAUUUCAGGGGGAUAGCCCGGAGAAAUCCGGAUUAAGACCGCAUAUGAUCACGUUACCGCAUGGUAGAGUGAUGAAAUAUUCAUAGGAAAUGGAUGGGCUCGCGUGACAUUAGCUAGUUGGUAGGGUAACGGCCUACCAAGGCGACGAUGUCUAGGGGCUCUGAGAGGAGAAUCCCCCACACUGGUACUGAGACACGGACCAGACUCCUACGGGAGGCAGCAGUAAGGAAUAUUGGUCAAUGGGGGGAACCCUGAACCAGCCAUGCCGCGUGCAGGAAGACGGCCCUACGGGUUGUAAACUGCUUUUGCACGGGAAUAACCCUCAUUAUGUAUAAUGAGCUGAAUGUACCGUGAGAAUAAGGAUCGGCUAACUCCGUGCCAGCAGCCGCGGUAAUACGGAGGAUCCGAGCGUUAUCCGGAAUUAUUGGGUUUAAAGGGUGCGCAGGCGGGGAUCUAAGUCAGGGGUGAAAGACGGUGGCUCAACCAUCGCAGUGCCUUUGAUACUGGAUUCCUUGAAUAUACCUGAGGUAGGCGGAAUGUGGCAAGUAGCGGUGAAAUGCAUAGAUAUGCCACAGAACACCGAUUGCGAAGGCAGCUUACCAAAGUAUGAUUGACGCUGAGGCACGAAAGCGUGGGGAUCGAACAGGAUUAGAUACCCUGGUAGUCCACGCCCUAAACGAUGAACACUCGAUGUCGGCGAUAGACAGUCGGCGUCCAAGCGAAAGCGUUAAGUGUUCCACCUGGGGAGUACGCCCGCAAGGGUGAAACUCAAAGGAAUUGACGGGGGCCCGCACAAGCGGAGGAGCAUGUGGUUUAAUUCGAUGAUACGCGAGGAACCUUACCCGGGCUUGAAAGUUACUGAAGAUAGCAGAGAUGUUAUCGUCCUUCGGGACAGGAAACUAGGUGCUGCAUGGCUGUCGUCAGCUCGUGCCGUGAGGUGUUGGGUUAAGUCC